rnacentral:lncRNA from 1 species
CUCGAACAUUAAAAGAAAGAAGGUUCGAUGUGGAAUGCUUUGAAGCAGGAAAAAGCAGCAGUGAACAGCCUGGCAGAACGGAAGGACACCUUCGCUACAGGUGGUAAUCUCAAAGAGAAGACCGCAUCUGGGAACAAACGCUACAACAUAACCGUGUGUGCAAAUGUUAGGAAAAUGUCGCAUGAAUCGUCUGCAUGCCGGGAUCCCACACGAGACACACAAACAGCUCUAUCUGCAAAAGAAACAGAAUCCUGAAGAAGAUAUGACCAAGAGCCACAGUACUGGUUAGGUUCUGUUUUUCAUUGCGUUGUUAUUGCUGUUAGCUUCAUGCUAUCUGAAGUUACCGGAGAAGAAGAAACUCAGUUAAGAGAAUGUCUGUAUUAAAUUAGCCUGAAAGCAGGCAUGUGGAACAUUUUCUUAAUGGCUGAUUGAUAUGGAAGGGUCC